GAUGAAGAACGUAGCAAAAUGCGAUAAGUAAUGUGAAUUGCAGAAUUCAGUGAAUCAUCGAAUCUUUGAACGCACAUUGCGCCCGCCAGUAUUCUGGCGGGCAUGCCUGUUCGAGCGUCAUUUCAACCCUCAAGCCCUCGGGUUUGGUGUUGGGGAUCGGCGAGCCUUUCUGGCAAGCCGGCCCCGAAAUCUAGUGGCGGUCUCGCUGCAGCCUCCAUUGCGUAGUAGUAAAACCCUCGCAACUGGAGCGCGGCGCGGCCAAGCCGUUAAACCCCCAACUUCUGAAUGUUGACCUCGGAUCAGGUAGGAAUACCCGCUGAACUUAAGCAUAUCAAUAAGCGGAGGA
rnacentral:misc_RNA from 1 species